CACUUCUGUUUCUCCAUUUACUACUCCUUGGCAGCAAAAGUUGGUGGCGAUGAAUCGGAGAAACGACGAGGAAGAAGCUCAAGUCAAUCCAUUUUCGGAAUCAAAGAAAAAGGAGAACGAAGUUGCUACAUGGGAAUCAGAUUUAAAGAAAAAAGAGAGGGUUGUAGAUUCCGAGUCUGGAUUUCUGAGGAAGGUGUUUGCGGCAGAGGAUGGUGAUCACAAGUGAGCUCAUCUUGGCAUGCUUGCCCGAUGUUGAUGUAGCAAGGGUGAAAUGUGUGUGCUUGGAGCUGAGGUAUAUUGGGUGGUCAGCGUGUUGGCUUGGUUUGAUAGGUUUCAAGGUCUAUCACACAACGCAAUGUUUCAUUUAACAAAUCCAACCUUACUUCCUUUCUUGGAUUCAAUCAUCCAUGGACUAGUAUUUUAGUAGGACCAUGGGAUGAUAUUAUAUACUACUACUACUACUACUAGUUUGUUAUUAACU